CGGAGUGUAGCGUAGCUUGGUAGCGCACUUGACUGGGGGUCAAGGGGUCGUGGGUUCGAAUCCCGCCACUCCGACCA
rnacentral:tRNA from 1 species